UACGAAGGGGGCUAGCGUUGUUCGGAAUUACUGGGCGUAAAGCGCACGUAGGCGGCCUGGUAGGUCAGCUGUGAAAACUCGAGGCUCAACCUCGAGACGCCGGUUGAAACCAUCAGGCUAGAGUCCGGAAGAGGAGAGUGGAAUUCCCGGUGUAGCGGUGAAAUGCGCAGAUAUCGGGAAGAACACCCGUGGCGAAGGCGGCUCUCUGGGACGGUACUGACGCUGAGACGCGAAAGCGUGGGGAGCGAACAGG
rnacentral:rRNA from 1 species